rnacentral:rRNA from 1 species
AUGCAAGUCGAACGCGUGUAGCAAUACACGAGUGGCGCACGGGUGAGUAACGCGUGGAUAUCUGCCUUUUGGUUCGGAAUAACCCCGGGAAACUGGGGCUAAUACCGGAUGGUUCCUACGGGAUAAAGAUUUAUCGCCAAAAGAUGAGUCCGCGUCCGAUUAGCUAGUUGGUGAGGUAAUGGCUCACCAAGGCGACGAUCGGUAGCUGAUCUGAGAGGACGAUCAGCCACACUGGGACUGAGACACGGCCCAGACUCCUACGGGAGGCAGCAGUGGGGAAUAUUGGACAAUGGGGGCAACCCUGAUCCAGCCAUGCCGCGUGAGUGAUGAAGGCCUUCGGGUUGUAAAGCUCUUUUGGCGGGGACGAAUGAUGACGGUACCCGCAGAAUAAGCCCCGGCUAACUUCGUGCCAGCAGCCGCGGUAAGACGAAGGGGGCUAGCGUUGUUCGGAAUUACUGGGCGUAAAGCGAGUGUAGGUGGUUUUCCAAGUUGGAUGUGAAAGCCUUGAGCUCAACUCAAGAAAUGCAUUCAGGACUGGGAGACUAGAGGA